ensembl:lncRNA
AGUGGGUGUGUGGGGUGAAGUCAGCGCUCUUCUGUGGAAAAAAACCAGAGGCAAUUAAUUCACUCAGUGUGACCACGAAUUUUAAUAGAAGAAUUGAUCAAGCCCUAGAUCGACUGCGCGCAGGGAAACUGAUCAAUAUUGUAGGUAUAUUGAGUGUUUGUUUUAGCUUCAUGAUUUUGAAUGGUUUUAUAAAAUUGCUAUUUUAUUGGGUAAUAUUUUAAUUGAUAAUGUUGUUUGUUUUUCAGCUGUGCAGUCUCUGCUGUCCUUUGUUGUUCUUUUGAUUGAUUUGUAAUUUUGUUUUGGUUAGUCCGUCCAGCCGUAGAGGCGGUUAUUGAUUGAGAGUAAGUUUUGUAAGGGCGGACUAACCUCUCUUUUGUUUUGUUUUUUUAUUUAUUUUAAUUGUUUGUGCCACUUCCCUUUAUCUCUCAGAUCACAGGCCAUACAUAGCACUGAUUCCCAGCUGCGCUGAGACCCGAAUUGUUUGCAGUGUGUGCCACGAUUGCAGUGUCGCUAAGCGGGGUGUGACGGGUUUGCAGUGUUAUUUCGCACAGUUUGUGUGGCAAGUCUCGUGUGCAGCUGGGAUAUCAGCAGGAUGCGUUGUAAGUCCUGUCUGGAAACGACUGGGAAUUUGUACUUUUA